rnacentral:lncRNA from 1 species
AAAGUGCUAGGAUUACAGGCGUGAGUCACCGUGCCUGGCCCCCAUGACCUUUUCGAAGUCCCCUAGUAUGCCUUUACACCCAUUUCUAGAAUGAUUCCCAACAUUCCUUCAUUUAUUCCUUUAUUUAUUGAAUAAAUAAUUAUUAAAUGCUUGUCAUGUAUGUUCCAGGCUUUGCUCUAGUAAUUUCGGAUAUAUCAAUGAACAAAGCAGGAAAGAAAAAAAAAAAAGGCAAAAUCUCUGCCUUCCGGGAGCUCACAUUCCCACAGGAGUCACAGGAAACAGCCAAUGACCAGUAAGCAUCACAAAGAAGUCAUGCCAAAGAACCAGACAAAUAGCUGGAAGGAAGAGGGGAACUCCUUUGUGACGCCAAAUGGGCCAAAGGGUCGCUGGGAAAACUAAGCCUUACUGUCCAUCUUGCCUUCAGGAUAAUGUGAAAUAUGGCCUAAUUUUUGAAGUUUUUUUCUUAGAAAUUUUACUGAAUCCAAAAUAAAACAAGAAGAUCAUGGUGGAUAUAGCUUCCAAAUUUAUUCUGCAAUAAAACAGGUUUGAAUCUAGAUAUACAAGCAAAUAGCAAAUAAUAUACAUUCUUUUUUGCAGAGUCCAGAAUUCUCUUUUCUCAACACUAGAUGGCAGUAGAGUUAAAGAAAAAAAUCCCAGCAGUUCUUUGUACAGGGAUUUGGUGAUUUUUCCCAUAAAGCUGCGAUGAGGAUGAACUCAGAGCAAAAUCUAUAAUAUUAUGUGUCCAUUAACAUGAUGAUGACAUGUGAAAAUGUUUAUGGAUGAAUUUUAAAUUAAAAUGUCAAGCUAUAAAAUUUUAUAUGGAGUAAGAUCUCAUCUUGGUUGGAAGAAAAACACAUUCUGGAGGAACUAAAAAUAAAAGGGGGAGUUUUAUACCUGGUAUACUAUUUGUAGCCUUCGUAGAGGGUUCUCCAUUCUAGUCACACCGAUUUCCUCUCUGCUGCAGACAUUGGACACUGGCCUAGUGUUCCAGAAGCUCUGAGUUCAGAGUCCUCAUGUACUAAUGCCAGCAACAGUCAGUUUCACAGUGCCUCUGGCCAGCUGCACUCUUAUGCAACUCAACAAUUUCUCACCUUUUCUCCUUUUAAAAACAAUAUAAGCAACAAAACCACCCAGCUCCCACUGCUGCAUAACCCAGAAGUAUUGGAAAGAUCACUUCAUACAAUUCUUGAGGCAAUCCUGCAGGAUCAAGCAAUUAGGUCCUUGGAGUGGUGGCCAGCUCAUCAAAGCCUCUUUGUACUGGUGCUUCCCCUGAUCCUGUUUUGUUCCCUUGUCCCUCUUUCCUGCUCCUAGCUAGGAUCACACUCCCCAAUAAAGUUUUUGAACAAUGACCUGUGUUUAGGCUACAUCUUUCUGGGGAACUUGCACCAAAACUCCAUUACAUACCCAGCUUACCUUUGUCCUUUAUUAAAAUGCGUAAUCUGCACACAAAAUAGAUUUUUAUGAUAAAAUAUGUUACAAUUUUUAUUUGUUUACUUCCUCUUUCUUGGACUCAGUUUCUUUCCCUUUAAAAAUCUGCUACCUAGCUCUCAGAUUCUAUGUCCUUCAUUCAAAUAUUUGAGUUUUUACUAUGGGACAUGCACAUAGUCUGCUAGAAGUUGGUAAACUAUAGUUGUCUUAGUCCAUUCACAUUGCUACAACA